AUCUCAUGGAAGAGUGAUUAUGCACAAGCAAGUUUUUCAAUGGUUAUUAAAGUGUUGACUCUGGAGGACUGUUUACAGCUGGAAAUCUAAAGAUUUUUCUCAUCAAUGUACACAAUAAGGACCCCAUUCUUAUCUACAGCAACUGUGACCAUCAUUGUGAAGGUUGCUCCUGCCAGUGACUUCAGCCCUGUAUUUAAAGCUGCACACUAUUCAUUCUCUGUUCCGGAAACGUUGGGAGCAAAGAAAAGGUCUGAUCGUCGUGUACACAGCUAUAAACACGUACAAAUCCAAUGACUGGUACAUUCCUUUUAUCUUCACUCUGAUGGCUAUUUUCUUGCUGGGUUGAUUUCCUGGGUAUGUUUCCUGCUUUGGAAAUAUGGGAACAUUAUGGAAUGCUGUCAGAAAAUGACCAAGGAAGUCUCCAAGGCCAAACCCAAGCGAUGGAAAUCAAAAGGAAAAUACUGUCACAGGAAACAGAAAUAAAAAAUUAGAAGUAUUAACAUCUCUGGGAACGUAUAUGAAUAUAAUAGCAGAACAGGUGCAAGAAAGUGGAAGAAGACCUCCAGGCACCAGAAGGAGCCCUUGGCAAACAUACAUUCCCUCCUAGAGGUCCAUCCUUUAGAGGAGUCCACAUCCUUAAGAAUUCAUUUGCAAGGAUAGCAUUUUUCCAGCGCCUGAAUGAUUGCUUUUUUGUGUAUAUGAUUGUCACAGGCAGUUUUUCUUGGCUACCUAAAAUUAUAGACAUGAGGCCAGCUGCUUUGUCUGUGUUUAUAGCUUUCUGUGGUCUUCCAUUUCAGGGUGUCUGUGUGAAGGCGGCAGGAGUGGUGAGCUUUGAAUCUCUGAACAUGUUUUGCUGAAAACGAGAUACUAAAUUGACAUAUGUUCAUUGUCUUACUUUGCCCAGUAGAGUGUAUGCUUUUUAAGAUCAGAGACUAUUUUGCUCACUGCUUUAGCCCCAGUACAUGUUUGGCAGAGAGUGGGGACUCUGUAUACAUUUGUGAAUAAAUAAAUUUGAA
rnacentral:lncRNA from 1 species